rnacentral:rRNA from 1 species
GGAAUAUUGGUCAAUGGAUGGAAGUCUGAACCAGCCAUGCCGCGUGCAGGAGGACGGCCUUCUGGGUUGUAAACUGCUUUUGCCAGGGGCUAAAAAGCUCAUGCGUGAGAAAUUGAAAGUACCUGGUGAAUAAGCCACGGCUAACUACGUGCCAGCAGCCGCGGUAAUACGUAGGCGGCAAGCGUUGUCCGGAUUUAUUGGGUUUAAAGGGUGCGUAGGCGGCCCUGUAAGUCAGUGCUGAAAUAUCCCGGCUUAACCGGGAGGGUGGCAUUGAUACUGCGGGGCUUGAGUACAGAUGAGGUAGGCGGAAUUGACGGUGUAGCGGUGAAAUGCAUAGAUAUCGUCAAGAACACCGAUAGCGAAGGCAGCUUACUAAGUUGUAACUGACGCUGAUGCACGAAAGUGUGGGGAUCAAA